rnacentral:lncRNA from 1 species
UAAUUUUCGUCCAACAUGUAGCAGCCAUAUAUAUAGGCAAAACUAAACCUAGUCUAAUAAGGAAACAACUUAAAAACAAGCCCUAAUAGGCCAAACAAGGCCCUUACUUUAAAAAUCCGAAAAUAACAAGCCCUUUAAACUAAUGGGCUGCGAAAAAUAACAAUACUGAAAUAAAUAAAUGAAGUCUUCAAAAUAAAUCAAAUCUUCAAGCUUCGGCCCACUCGCAUGUAAUGAGAUUAAUUAGACUUGGACCGACUCCACCAUCUCCAAUGGGUUUCUUCAUCAACUCUUGAGCCCACACUUCUUGAACUAAGCUCAUCAAGCUCUCCUUGAACUUCUUGGCUCGUGCUCUUGUAACCGGACCAACAGGAACUUGCACCAACGAACCUUGGGCUGCAUCAUUCCCCUCCUCUUGAAGAGGAUUUGUCCUCAAAUCCAAAGCAUCACCUACAUCAAAAGGACUCAAAUCAGUGACAUUAAAAGAAGCACUCACAUUAUACUCACCUGGUAAGUCCAACUUGUAGGCAUUGUCAUUGAUGCG